GGGCAAUCAUUCUAGUGUCCGUUCUUCUCUCUCUUUCUCCCUUCGUUAUCAGAGUCGUUGUUGCGUUGUAGCUGUGUUACGUUAUGUAAGGCAAGCAAAUUUGCGUGUACGUUGUAUAUGCAUAUUUUAGUGCCAGCCGAAAAGUAGGCAACAAGAGUUUCUCAAAUUAACGUGCUUACUAAUUCAAACACCGACGCACUCACCAAACACCCCAAAAUCAAAGUGAAACUCACAAGAAAGAGAGCGCAAAUGAACAAAAUGGCGCCUAUUGAUAUAAUUGCUUAGCGCAGAAAAGUAUGCAACGAGAAUGCCGAUUGUGUCGUUAGUUACGCGCGCAGCAAAGCUAGCAGCUACAACACUCGCACUUGCACAUGCACAUGCAUAAAUAUUUGACCGAUUUGAAAUCGCAAUUACGCACUCAACUCUCGUACUCGUAAUAAUAGCAAUA